rnacentral:rRNA from 1 species
UACGUAGGGGGCUAGCGUUGUCCGGAAUCAUUGGGCGUAAAGCGCGUGUAGGCGGCCCGGUAAGUCCGCUGUGAAAGUCGGGGGCUCAACCCUCGGAUGCCGGUGGAUACUGUCGGGCUGGAGUGCGGAAGAGGAGAGUGGAAUUCCCGGUGUAGCGGUGAAAUGCGCAGAUAUCGGGAAGAACACCCGUGGCGAAGGCGGCUCUCUGGGACGGUACUGACGCUGAGACGCGAAAGCGUGGGGAGCGAACAGG